rnacentral:lncRNA from 1 species
CUUGGGAGUAGGCAAAAUGGUAGCAGCUGGCAGCUUCUGCUUCAGAUAAAUAGAUCUCAGCAGUAACAACCUGAAUUUGCCUGUCUCUCCAGACUUCAGAUCUGCUUGUUUGCCCUGCAACCUCAGUUCUUUGAUGGAUCCAAGAAAAGGCCUUGAUUUUUGGCUUAAGAUUUUUCUUAUUGUAAGAAGAGGAGUGAUGACUUCUAAGCUGUUUACACUGAGGGCCUAAAACCAGAGUUGUGGGUCCUUCUAGUUGUGGCAUGUGGGAUGCUGCCUCAAUGUGGACUGAUGAGUGGUACCAUGUCCGCACCCAGGAUCUGAAUCAGUGAAACCCUGGCCCGCUGAAGCUGAGUGCAGGAACUUAACCACUCCACUAGGGGGCUGGCCCCCACUCAAUCAAAUUUUGAUCAAGAUUUCUUUAGAUAAUAUUGUUGAACAAUGAAAGUCUCUUUUAUUGCUUUUUCCUAUGUACCAGGUAGUUUUUCAGGCACUUUAAAUGUAUUAUCUAUUAAAUGUAAAAUCCUCACCAUAACCCGGAGACAACCAUUAUUAUUCUCAUUUUUAUCCUGAGGCUCAGAGAAGGUUUAUAUUGGUCUUAGUACAGUUGACAUAGUUACUUGCUUUAGUAUACUUGGUUUUAGUAUGCUGAUUAUGCUUGUUUUAGUAUAUUUAGCAAGUAGUAAAAGCUUAAUUCAACCCCAGUUUCUCUGGUCCUCAUAUCUAUGAUCUGUCUGUUCAUUUUUGCUGCCUCCUUUACUAUUCUUUCCUCACUUAAGCCAAUAGAUACAAGCACAAAAGUAGAAUAUUUGAAAGAACAUUUUUAAUGCUGUUUUUGGCUAUGUUUUCUCUUAAUAAUAUUAACGUAGUGUUUUUAUGAAUAUGUAUUUUAUUAUUCCCUUAAAGGCUUGUAAUUGGUUUUACGUUGGGUAUCUAUGCUGGUACUGUCAAUUCUUAAUGCAUAAAUUGAAACACCGAAAUUGAAAAACGAUUUAAUCAUUAAGCUGAGUUAUCCUUUUUUCAUCUUUCACUAUCUUUAUUUUCUGUCUAGUGAUAAAUGUGAAUGUAGAAUUUGUGACUGAAAGGUGGUGUCAGACAUUUAAUUUUAUUUCCUCAUAAACUUUCUUGGCAGAGAGAUUAAGCAUACCUUCCAAAGGAAUCAUAUUGCUAAGAUGUUUGUAUAGCAGUCAAAGAUAAUAAAUUUUACAUCAAUCUUUAAUAUACUGUUCUUUUGUUUGUUUUCAAGUCUGGAAGUAGAUAUCAUUUAGCUAGAGACAGCUGUUCACAAAACUGUCGCUCUUUAUGGUGUUCAUACGCUUUCUAUAGAGUGUAAAUUUUUUCUUUCUUUUUCUUUUUAGAAUUAUGUUAAGCUACAC